AUGACCAUGGCCACCUUACAGAGUCUGCUCCUUUUGACUUUUAUUUCAGCUGCUCGCUGUCAGUCUCUCACCUCAUCAGAGGCAGUGGUCAGCAGACCAGGACAAUCAGUCACUCUGUCCUGUAGAGUUCAAGGACUCUCUUUGACUUGGUUGCACUGGAUUCAUCAAAAACCUGGGAAAGGACUAGAAUGGAUCGGACGCAUUGAUAGCGGGACCGGCACAAUAUUUGCCCAAAGUCUCCAAGGCCAGGAGCUGGUGUUUAUACUGCCAAAGACCAAAGACACUUCCCAAAAUCGUGUGAAUUUAGUGGUGAACAGCCUCAAACAGGAAGACUCUGCAGUUUAUUACUGUGCACGAUAG